CCUACGGGAGGCAGCAGUGAGGAAUAUUGGUCAAUGGUCGGGCGACUGAACCAGCCAAGCCGCGUGAGGGAUGAAGGUCCAGAGUAUCGUAAACCUCUUUUGUCAGGGAACAAAGGCGGGGACGUGUCCCCGUAUGAGUGUACCUGAAGAAAAAGCAUCGGCUAACUCCGUGCCAGCAGCCGCGGUAAUACGGAGGAUGCGAGCGUUAUCCCGAUUUAUUGGGUUUAAAGGGUGCGCAGACGGGUCGUUAAGUGAGCUGUGAAAGCGCGGGGCUCAACCCCAGGACUGCAUUUGAAACGGGCAGUCUCGAGUUGGAGAGAGGUAUGCGGAAUGCGCGGUGUAGCGGUGAAAUGCAUAGAUAUCGCGAAGAACUCCGAUUGCGAAGGCAGCAUGCCGGCUCCACACUGACGCUGAGGCACGAAAGCGUGGGUAUCGAACAGGAUUAGAUACCCGAGUAGUC
rnacentral:rRNA from 1 species